GCGAGCGGCUGCUGCCCCGCGAAAGCAGCGGGGGCUCGGGAAUUCUCCGGUGCUGACCCCCUUGUCCGCCCCGGCGCCAUCGCCCUGUACGUGCAAAGGAAACUUUGGUCGCGUCCUGUGGCGUUAGCCCGUAACUGAGUCGGAAUCAAAAUGUUGCCUUGUAGGACAUCUGUAAGACCUCUCUACACAUAUGAGGCUGUGCACUCACUGGGAGGAAGAAACACAGCUACAGAAGAUAAACAUGUAUUGGGAGGGAUUUCUGGGUUGUACAGACUUCUGCAAGUGAGAACAUGGAGUGGGACUGUGAAAUAGAAUAAUGAAGUCCUUCAGUGAAGUUGCCAGCAGCAGGAAAAAAUAGAAGAGAAAGUCACAGAGUCAGGCUUUAUUACGCAGCAAAGAACCUGUUUGGUCUGUGGAACCAGGGAAUAAGUGUUGUUAAUCAUCUAAACUCAACACUUUCUGAAAAGACAAGACUGUCCAUCUCUAUUAACAUCUCCGACCUCAAAAUUUACACAAUAUGGUUAUUUUAAUCGGUUGUGCUGGCACUCUGUGCUGUGAAUACGCUCCAGCAUUUCUCUGUCCAAAUCCUCUUGUUGCCCCUGCCAGAUGAGCUGUGGUGCCCCACUUGGUCACUGGAUGGAUGUGCGUCUGCUAGAGACUGGCCAUGUAUCUCACUGCAGAGGUUGGCAUCUUCCCAUGUUGGGUGAAAUGACUUUGUGGGAGUAGCCAGUAUUUGAGGAAAUACCCCUAAAAAUGCCAAGUCCCAGCCAAAGCUCAAAGUGAUGUGUGAAAAACACUCGCAUUAGUGCCACAAAAGUCCAUCAGAGGAUGCGUUUUUGAAAGCAUCCCUGACUGUUGAAGAUUGGAGCCAUGGUUUAUGAUUCUCUAAAAAAACUUCUAGACUUAAAAGGAAUGUUAAGCCUUCAGGAAAGUCAGUGAAAAGGGCAAUGUCAUCUGAAUGCCCUGUUUGCAGCAUAUCAUCUUUCAGAGCAAUCAGUCACUCAUUUUGGAGCAGAGCUGUCCCUAAGCAGCGGAAGGUAACACACAAAGGGACAUAACGCAAGCCUGGCUUUCAGUUGGAGUGAUUUACUGUUGUCAUAAAUGUGUUUUCAGUCGCGAAGUGCCCAGAUUUCAACAUCAUCAUCCAAGUAUAACCACCCAACAAGUGCUGUCCACUUCCGAGCUGCAGAUCUCUUAGAUACACGUCCCAAGAACACAUCCAAUUUUGCAGCAAUGCUGCAUUGCCAUGCUGUUUUUAAUAAUUGCUGAACAAUAGUUUCGUGUCCUUAGUUAAGGUGAGUGUUUGAUUUGAUUAGGAGCCCGUCAAAUACAGAAUGGAAAACAGCUGCUCUUCUGAGGAGUUCCUGGUGCAAUCCCUGAAGAAAUUCAGCCAGUGCACAACACAAAAGGAGAGCGAGCGAAUGAAUGAACGAAUGAACUCUGGGUUAAAAUUGACAGGGUCAAGCUGAUACAAACUGUGGAUACAUGCUUAUCUUUCCAGGUUUUCUGUCUUAAGAAAUAGCUGUUAAUUGUGUUGGUUUUCUCCAUAUGUGUGUCUUAGGAUCUUAUUUCACUUUUUUCUGUUUGUAUCUCAGCUUCUCUAGGGUUAUUUAAGCCACACUGACCCAUGUAAUAGCGACCAAGUUAGCAUUUGCUGCCAAAUUCAUUCAGCUUGAUACUUAUCAGCCUCUCUUACAAAAUCAAGAAAGAAAUACACCACCACCUUACUACAGUCAGAAAAGAAGAUUCCUUAGGGAGAAAGGAAGGAAAAAAGAGAGGGAAAGCUAAAGCAGGAUGUCCUGGUUUUGUUAAAAACAAGAUCAGUUUCUCUUUUAGUGAAUUUUUCUUUCAGCUACAUUCUUCUAAGUAACUGCACUUUUCUGAAUUUGGCUGCUUGUUUUUGCAGGUGGCAGCUGAUAACAUAGCAAUGGAAUGCAAAAUACUGGUAAAAAUGCAAUUCCCACACACGAGAAGGGUGUAUUUGUAAGAAGGGGUGAACAGAACAGGUGACCAAAAUUGACCAACUGAGUCAUUCACCCUAUAUAAGUGAGGGAUCACCUGAAGAGGACCCUGCCUGUUGUCCCUGUGAUCUAAGGCCUGGUUCCAGUGACUCCUGAAUCCAGGUCUGGUUUGCUGUGGAGUUCAGCCCAGGACUUCUGGGUGCCUGCCCUGCAGCUGCUGGAGCGGUGUGAAGUGGGGAAAUUCAAGCACCUGGGUUGUUCUCAGACUGAAAUCUCCUUGAAGAACGCAACAUCUUACUGUAGGCCAUACUAUGAUAGAGCCUCCAACUGCAGCAAGGUUUCUCAUGGUCAGUAUGAUACUAAGACCCACACAAAGGAAACACCAACUUCUUUCAUCUUUUCCGGCUAGAGGACAACACAAGGAAUGAAAACAUUGGAUAGAAUGUCUGAAAACAUUACACAGAAUUUUCUACUGGCUUUUUUGAUAACCUGAAUCAAGAUGACCAGUAAAGGAACUGGGAUUUGCUUGGAGCCAACAGACAAAUCUAGAACAACUCAUCAAGCUUGAAAUUAAAAGAUUUACAACCAUCACUCCCAGCAUUUUGACAGUCAUUCUAGCAAAUGAAUGACUGUAGUACUUAUUUCUGGGAGACAAAGGGGGCACAGUCUGGAACAUGUCAGAAGAGGUCCAGUUUCAUUUUAAAAAUUUCUGAAUUCAAAACCAAGCUCAUUUUGACUUGGAAAGAAACAGCUCUCUCAAAAUAUUGUGCCUGGUUCCAAUCACACUUAAUCACUGGUUGCCACAGAAAUCUUCCUCAGGGGGAGUGUUGGAGCUUUCUUUGCUUGAAAUGCUGUUGUCCCUCUCUUGCACUGCUCAACAGCACACAGACCAUUUAAAAUUUAUUUCUAAAACAAGAUUUGCUUUGUUUGGAUUCCUCCACUGACUAAAUUCAGACAUCACAGAAGCUGAUGCAACUGGGCUGACUCAUGACACCACUGAAUUUUUUCAAAGUCUAUUAUUAUAAAGUAAGAUCUACAUCAGUUUUAUCUCCCUGAGCUCUUAUUGCCCAGCAUCAACUGUCCAUUUCUGAUGAUGGUUUAAUGGUUGGAAGGAGCAGUGAAUUUGGUAGCAGUGCACUUAUGUAUAUUCAUGAUUACGUGAACUGCUGAGGUGUUUUCUCAUUCCUAAAUUGGCAUGAUGACACCAGUUUACAAAUGAAAAAUGUUUCUUCAUGUUAUUAUUUUUUUUCCCUGAGAGUUAGGAGCUGAGCUCUGUUGAAAACUGGUGCAGUAUUUGUGGCUUCUAACAGUUAUACAUACAUUUUUAAAAGCUAGUUUCUCCCUUUAAAUGUGCUAAAGAAACCUGCUCCUACUUAGAUCACUGUUUUCUGACUCCCAUUAAAAACAGAACCCAUGACAGCAAUAAGGAAAAUAGCAAAACGGUGGUGAAUCCCACUGCCGGUAUAAAAGAGCCAGUCAGCAGGAAAGUGUUCAAAACCAAACCACCACCCCCCACACACCAAAAAAAACCCCACCCAGCCUGCCAUCCCCUUGUGCAUCUGGUCCUUACUAGAAGCCUCAGGACUCCAGUAGCUUCAGACUGUUUUUUUCUCAUCUUGAAUCAUGGACAAACACAUUGCAAAGAUUCUCUCUCAAUCCAAAUGUUGAGGAUCACAGGAAAGAGCAAAUUUCAGGUCCUUAAAGUUUCUUUCUUUCUUACCAACUGAAUUAAUUAAUGCAGAGUUAGGAUUUCCCAGCAGUAGCUGGAGCCCUUAUAAAAUAUCAGCUUCAGCAAAAUUCAGACUUUAGGAAGCCAGGAAAUACAGAGUUUAGGUCAAUGUUCAGACAACCUUUAUUUUUCCCUCCUGGGAGCCAGUGAUAGGAACAGGGAGCUGGCAGUAUUUGCUGAGCUGAGUAUUGCUGUGUCAAAUGGUACCAGACUUAGUAAACUAUGACAGUAGGCAAGAUGGGAGACCUUACCUCUCAGAUGGGGCCCCAGCCUCACAAAUAUUGUUAUUUGGUGUAGUUGAAAAGAGAAAAUGUAAUUAUUGUUGAAUUGUUUCUAGAAAAUUGUGUCAGAGCAUGCAUGGCAAGGAAAUGUGACUGCAAAUACACCCCGUAUUUCCAAAGAGAAGGUGUGCCUGUGCUGUAGUACUUACAUACUGAAAGACACUCACUGAAAAGGUGAAUUAUUUUGAUUACAGAUAUAUUGAGCAUUGCUAUAAAGGUUGGAAUUAAUAUUGUUGUAUUAUCCUCUGUAUUUCCUGGUUUCUCAGAGGUUUGAAUUAUGCUGAGCUUAACUUUAUGGAAGCAAGCGAGCAAUCUUAACCAUAUGUUAGCAAAUCUUUUCAGUAAAGUAAUGUUUUUAAUAGGGACAUGUUUUUUGUAGGUCUCAGACAUUCUUUAGGUGCUUAUGGUUACUAUUGCAACAACAGCACUACUGAAAUAAUGUAAAGGGAGGCCUGUGACUCUGAAACCCUGUUUUAUCCAGUGCUACAUGGAACAGGGUAGUCACCACUCACUGAAAUAUUUGAAGGAUGAAGGUAUCGGCAGUGUGAUGAGAGAAUCCUCAGAAAUUAUGGUUCCAUGAUGAUUACAAUACACACCUAAGAAGAAAAGGAUGGAUCUCUUCCUUCCCCCCUCCCCUUGAUUUCUUAUCAGGAUAUACAUAACCCCACCUGAGAAAAUUUUCAGCACACUCUUCUUGUCCAGCUAUAUCAAGCCAUUAGCAUUUGAGAAGUGAAUAGCACUUGCAGAGUUUCUCUUUGCUCUCUGAUACUCUGGUGCUAACAGCAAGCUUGACAGCAAGCCGCUUACAUCCCAUGAUCCCCUGCAUAUGCUAGAUUCCCCAAGUCUGGAUUUCCAUCCUCAGGUCUGUUUUUGAAGCCCCUCCAGCAUUAUCGAUAUACCAAAUUACAUUGCAAGGUCUUGAAGAGGGCAGACUAAGCCUAAACCUAACCCUAACACAACCCUAACCCUAAUCUAAACCUAACCCUACCCCUAAACCAGCCCUUACCCUAUCCCUAAACAAAACCUAACCCCAGCAACUAACUCUAAUCCUAAACCCUAACCUAACUCUAAUCCUAACCCAACGCUAACCCUAACGCUACCCCUAACCCUAACCUACCCUAAUCCUAAACCCUAACCCUAACCUAACCCUAAACCUAACCCCAAGCAAACCAAACCCUAACCCUGAACCCUAGCCUAAGCCUAACCCUAACCUUAAACCCUAAACCCUAACCUAACCCUAACCUUAUCCCUAACCAUAACCCUAACCUAAGCUUAACUCUAACCCAAACCCCUAACCCUAACCCUUGCCCCUAACACUAACCUUUACCCAACCCUUACCCUAAACCUAACCGCAAUCCCAACCCUAAUCCUUACCCUAAACCUAACCAGAACCCUAACCCCAACCCUUGGGUAACCAGCAUGUGCAGUGCCUCUCAUCCAUGGUACCUGAGACCAGGUGUCCAGGCGUUCAUGCUCUGCAGAGCUGCAGCAGACCACCACCAUAUGUUGGGUUUUUUUUGUUUGGUCCUUUUUUUCCUCUUUCCUAAACUUCUAGGGCAGAAACCCGCCUUAUUUCUUGGCUGUUUUCUGUGUCAGGUACAUGACUGAGAGGGGCUGCUGGCGCGGCGCUGGGCACCAGGUUGGGUGGGAGGCUGUGUUUGGCCUUGAGUUUUCCCCAGGGACCUGCACAGCAGCUUCAGUCACUAACUGUGUGUCCCUGAGCACCGAGGGAGCUGCCCCUGUGAUGUGGCCCAGGCAGCCCUCGCCAUGGCUGGUGCCAGGAGAGAGGCAGGAGGGACAUGGCACCCAUAGCCCCUGUAGAGGGGGCUGUCUGGUGAGGCCAUUGCCCUUCUUGACAUGGAGAGGAAUAAAAGCACUUCAGAGUGUUGCAGGGCCACCAGCGAUCAGCCAAGAGCUUCAGCAGCCCCCUGUGAUGGUUCCCCAUACUGGGUGUGUGCCCAGGUGGAGAGCUGCACUGGUGCAGAGACUACCACGCCAGUGUGGGGAUUUCUGGGUGUCUUGAGGAGCCCCAGCUCCUUCUCAGUGUAUCAGAGGGCACCUUCCCAGUGGAAACCACAUCAGCAACAAAGGACUGCUUCUCACACUACAACACACCAGUUGCUGAACUGGUAAAAUACCAUGAUGAUAAACAGGCAUCAUUCCUGUUCUGGGUGAGCCUACAGCUAACUCCUUCCAAGUGCACAUGGCUGAAAAUACAGCUCCCAGCGUUUUACCAAGAUUUAAUUCCACAGGUACCUUUUUGCACCUAGAACUGGGCCUGUGGCAAUGUCUUUUCUAAUAAAACACCAAAUUACGUGUGAGCGUUUAAGAAAAAUUAUCUUUUAACCGGCACCAUCAUUCCUCAGAUGGUGGUGGUGGUUGGUGGUGGUGACCCUGAGGCUGGUGGAGAAAGCUGAUUCACCCCCAGUUUUGAACGGGCCUCCCCCUCUGCUGGGCUGAACUGACAGACAGCGGGCACAAAGCCGCUCAGGUGGCACUGGAGAGAAAGCUGCUGUACCUUCUGACCCCUUACAUGGCUUUGGAGCUGUGUUUGAGCUGAAUGAGACUGGCCCAGAGCAGUGCGGAUAGCAAAGUGGAAUCAGUCAUGGUUUGAGGUACUGACAUAUUUGUCACAGCAUCAUCCCUUGGGGAGUCUCACUUUAUCCGUCUUCUUGCUAAAGCUUUCUGAAAAGUGUUAUUUAGGCCUCUUUGUUGUCCUAUAUUGUUGAAUGAAAAGUUUUUGGAGACA